AAGCGGAGGAAAAGAAACCAACAGGGAUUGCCCUAGUAACGGCGAGUGAAGCGGCAACAGCUCAAAUUUGAAAUCUGGCCCUCGGGUCCGAGUUGUAAUUUGUAGAGGAUGCUUUUGGUACGGUACCUUCCGAGUUCCCUGGAACGGGACGCCAUAGAGGGUGAGAGCCCCGUCUGGUUGGAUGCCAAACCUCUGUAAAGCUCCUUCGACGAGUCGAGUAGUUUGGGAAUGCUGCUCUAAAUGGGAGGUAUAUGUCUUCUAAAGCUAAAUAUUGGCCAGAGACCGAUAGCGCACAAGUAGAGUGAUCGAAAGAUGAAAAGCACUUUGAAAAGAGAGUUAAAAAGUACGUGAAAUUGUUGAAAGGGAAGCGCUUAUGACCAGACUUGGACUUGGUUGAUCAUCCUGGGUUCUCCCUGGUGCACUCUUCCAGUUCAGGCCAGCAUCAGUUCGCUGCGGGGGAUAAAAGCUUUAGGAAUGUGGCUCCCUCGGGAGUGUUAUAGCCUAUUGCACAAUACCCUGCUCCGGACUGAGGUUCGCGCAUCUGCAUGGAUGCUGGCGUAAUGGUCAUCAGCGACCCGUCUUGAAACACGGACCA
rnacentral:rRNA from 1 species